rnacentral:lncRNA from 1 species
GCGGAUCGAUUUUCUUCUUUGUGGGAGCUUCAUUUUCGGAGCCAUUUGCACUGACGAGACUAGCACGGAGCUUGGGAGAGCAAAUGUGAGGGUGAGAUGAAGAGUUUCUAGUGGAAGGAUAGGGAUUUUUGGAGUGAUACCCCGAUUUGGAAGAGACGGGUAGAAUCUAGGGCACGCUCAAACCGCUCCAGAUGAAGAGGGAGAAGGGGAGGAACUUGGUUCCUAAGGGUUGAUUUGAGGUGUAAGAGGUGGUGGGAGAAGAGUCU